ensembl:rRNA 5S_rRNA 5S ribosomal RNA
UGAUUCUGUAAUAUCAUAUUGAUCGUUUUAACCACUACACAAGCAGGGUUGAGUUUGGUCAGUACCUGGAUGGGAGACCUCCUGGGAAAACUAGGUUAAAUAAUAAU